GGUGAGUUUAAUUGUGUUUAUGUGAAUGUCUCUCGAAAGUAGAGCUGAACAUUUUCUCGGUUUGACUGGGUGUUUUUAGAAGCAAAUUGGACAUAUUACCAUGGCCUAGAACUGUUGGUGCUAGGACUUGUGAUUUUCUGGAUGAAAAUCUGGAAAGAGGAAAGUUGUAAAAACAUGGUACAUCAGUGGAGAUUGGAACAUUUGGAUCAACCAGUGCUUAAGAAGGUCCAUUUUGUACCCUUACUGGAACAAACUUUGGGACAUUAGGAAUAAAGUGGGUGGGAGUUCCAAAUCAAAGGAAAUCUAAAUAUUGGGGAACAGUGCCGGAAGGUAACUUUCCCAGAUUGAUCAAGGCAUGUCUUGACAGCUUAGGUGAAAAUGGAUCUAUAGAAGAGAAAGCUGGUCUCAGGGCAACCGGAAUUUAUUCUCUCAAUAAAAAUGAGGUCCUAAAGGGAAUACCAACAACCGAAACAAAAAAGCAGCUGUAGCCCUCGAUGUGUCCAAACCAGCAGGAUUGAGCGCCAACAUGCCUAGCUCCACUGUCAUGUCUGGACCUGUAGCAACCUUGUGUGCCAUCCAGUCGAGAUCUGCAGUAACCUCUAGACCUGUGGCGCCAACAACCUCUGACACGUCUGAACCAGUAGCAGCCACAUGGGAUUCUGUAGCGCACUUAGCCCACUUGUCGGAGCAGAACAAGGAGCUGCUGUUGUCCAUCCCACUCAUCGAUUUGUGUCAUGAGGUCACGCAAUCUGCCUCCGACACAUCUAAUGCUGUCACUGGCAGUGUUAAAUGCCAAGAUGGAGAUCAGUACUGGUUACCAACACAUUACCCAUUCCAGCAGAACAUCCCAGUGAUCGUGCAACCACAGAGUGCAGAUACUGUGGAUAAGAAGGCGUCGAGUGCACCUACGCUUUUCACCUCCACUUGCAAUUUAACUCCCAGUGGUCUGAAACGCGUGAAGAUUGCUAUAGAAGUGCAUCAUGUCUGGGGCUUGCAUGCGAGAAUGGAGACUGAAAAUGUAUCCAAAUGUGUUAAAGUGCCAAUUUCCGAGUUCGAAUGGGAUUAAAUGUGUUGUGCAAAGCGUUAUAUCAGUCAGCCGGUGACUAUAGAGUAUUAUUCAACUCGUUCUCCCAAGACAUUAGUCUUAUUGGUAUGACACUUUCUAUUACAACAGUGUAUGAUGACUGUGCAUUAUAUGUGAAAACGGGUGACAACUGUGUUUAUCUAAGACAUGCCUCCGUUAUGAAGUUAUACGAUCUGGGAAAUGCCAUACAUAUUGGAUUGGACAGACUGAACCGUUGGUUGCCUAGCAUACACUCUGCAUAAAAUGAUGUUGUAAACUCCCUACAUGUGCAUAGUGUACAUGUGAUGAUCUUAAGCAGCACCUUUGUUUGCGGAUGAAUGCUGAACCUAAAGAGAAACACAUUAAAUGUGUGUGUGAAAAACCAGAGUACUGUGAGGCAUCUAUUGGCUUGAGGGAGAUACACGCUGAAAUUAUUGCAUGUCAGAAAGCUUUAUUUGGUAAAUGCUAUACUGGUGCAAAAAAGAAGAUACAUACAGAUUGUAAUGAUAUUCAUGAAACACAACACCCUAUGUAUGAUAUUCAAAUAAAUAAAUAAUUUGUAUAU